UACUAGUAGGGUGGUGGUAACUAUGG
rnacentral:piRNA from 1 species